GCCUGAGGCGAGCGGGGCGGCCCCGCCCCGUCUCGCCGCUCCUCCUCCGGGAGGCCAGGGCAGUGCGGGAGAAACCACCCCGAGUAAAGGGGGGGGGCCGGGCGGGGAUUCUCAGAGCGCAGAGGCCGCCGGGGCCACUUCACCUCAAGCGCUAGGGACUCGCUUUGAUACAUACAUCCACAGAAGCCUAAAACGAGAUUGGAGAAAGUGGGAAGGCUGGGCAUGGAAACAGAGCACUGCUGCUGCCCGCAGGGAAGGGAGAGUCCAGAAGGAACGAUCUCAUUAGACCAUGGCUCUGCACUUAUGUGAUGAUGGUUCAUCUCGGUUCAACUGCUGUUAUUACAUGUACAGAAAAGUAAUGUCGGUAUUUACAGCGGGUUUCAACUUAUGUGCCAAACUGCAUAAACACAGAAAAAUAGAGCAAAAAAUGAAGAGAAUAAAAUCCUAAUAACAUGA